GUGAAUGAAUGAUGAUAGGAUUUUCAUUUUUGGGUGAACUAUUCCUUUAACAGUGAAAGCUAAAACAUCCGACUGAUCCAGACACUGAAGAAAUUGGUGUGACUGCAAUCUGGCCAAAAUGAUAGAAAUAUAAUGGCGUAACAGUGAAAGCUAAAACAUCAGUCUGAUCCAGACACUGAAGAAAUUGAUGUGACUGCAAUCUGGCCAAAAUUAUACAACUAUAUUGAAGUAGCCUACUGUAAUGAAGCUGCAGAACGACACAGAGACUCUGAGGACAUCAACACAGAAAAUGAAGGCUCCAAAGAGAUGUCUGUCCAGAUGAGGCUGCAUCAACGUUACCUUUGCUGACAAGUAUAUGCUUUACAAUGUAAAACCUAACAGUUAACUUAACUCAAACCAUUUAAGGAAACAGGUUGCUUUAAACCAUUUAAGUCUUAAAACGCAUACAUUUGAGUACUGUGAACUUGAGUCAUAUGCAAUUAUGCACUUAUAUUUAAGUAGUGUGAACUUAAAGAGCACCUAUUAUGGGAUACACGUUUUUAAACAUCCUUUUGUGUGUAAGUGUGCAUUAGUACAUGCUAACGAUAUUCAAAAAGUACAUACCUCAAAGAAAACGAUGACGCGAGUUAUCGUCUCUAACGUUCGAGGACUACAAAAAACACUCGGAUUGUAGGCAACAGUUUACUUCCUGGGAUUAGUGACGUAGAUAAGACCAACAUUAUCAUAGUUCAGCCCUCUCUGCUUUGCUUGGGUACGCCCUCAAAGACGAGGGUGGGGUGGGGAGCGCCGAGUCAGAAGAGAGCUAAAAUGGCGGAGGUUGGGAGUCCCUGCUUUGACUCUGUUUGCAAACUCUUGUUUCAUUGUUUAAGCGAUUAAAUCUCUCGAGUAGACGCUGUCUCUUUAGAUGCGAGGGCAAAAUAGCACUUUAUGGACUUCCACAGAGGACAUCAUGUUUAAUACGGUUCCGGAAAAAUCCAGUCAGAAGUUGUUCACGGAGUUUUCACAAUAACUGCUUCUCAUGAACCGAAGCUGGAUUUGCGCGACGUCUCCUCUUGAAAGUUGGAUUACUGUGCACUUCUGGAUCACAGACUGUAAGUAUUCAUGUUUAUUAUUUGCCUUUUACUGUACAUUACGUAACCGGUAACCGGAGAUUAACAUAAUGUGCGUGUAGAGCUAAGCUUGCAAGCUAAUUGUUUUGUGUUGUAAUACUGUAUUUCAUAAACAACGUACCAUAUUUACACACGUGUAUGUUGAAUUAUGC